rnacentral:misc_RNA from 1 species
UCGAUUUGGCUGUAAAACAAAUUAGAGCGCGAAAGGCGGCAGGCGCGCGCCUAUCGGCGCCUCGGUAGAGCGCCUCCUGGUGUUGACGGUGCGGACGGCGCGGUCCGUGCGCUCGGUGUUGUCGGUGUCGGUGCUUGUCCUCGGCGCGUGUGGCACGACACUCGACGCGCGGAAGGAUGUUGCUGUUGCCGCUGGUACGGAACGUGCGGCCGAGCUGGACCAACGACGAGCGAGUGAACGGCUGAGAGAACGCGUGUGCGAGUGUUCCAACGCGAGAGACCGCAUACACACGCAGUUGCCGUCGUCAUCUACGCGCGGCUGGCCGAGGCGAGUCCUGUGCGCGCGCGCGCGGACGGUUAAGGAUACCCGAUUUGUGCUCCGGAUAUAAUCGUCAUCGGUACGCUCCCUCCUUGGUCGGUGAAAUGUCCUCGCGGACGAUCAUCCUGCUUACGGGAUCGAGCUGAACGGAAGAUUUCGAUUAACCGGAUUUCAGACCGGAUUUACUUUUUAUGCUCUUCGAGGACACGUCGAGCGCACGUACUUUAAAAAAAAGAAAAAGGUAUAUAUAUAUAAUCGUGAGGUGCAUUCCGUGUGACGACGAUAACGGCGAUAAUCGCCGUUGCCUUGGUACCAGCAGCGGCGACUGAGACACGGUGCUCCUAAUGCUUGAAAUCUCGAUGAGGCUUAUGUCGUCGACGUCGUCGCCGUCGGAGCCGUCGUCGCCGUCGGAGCCGUCGUCGCCGUCGAAGCCGCUGCCGUCGGGAUCGUCGUCGUGGUUGCUGUUUCUGUCGCCACCACCACCGUCGGAGUUGUCGUCGGCGUCGUCAUCAUCGCCGUCAUUGUCAGCGUCGUCGUCGUCAGCGCCGUCGUCGUCAACGUCGUCGUCGCCGUCGUCGCCGUCGUUGUUAUUGUCAUCGCUGUCGUCCUCGUGGUCAACGUUCGCGUGCUCCUUUACACUACCGCCGUUCUCCGUGUCAUUCGCUGCUUUGUCUCUACAUUUAUAAGGAAGAGUCGGUACUGGACAGUGCGGGUUUGCAGUAGCAAGGAGUCAGGAUGGCAGGCAAUAAAAGUACAGCCAUCACCAUGCACACAAAACCGGUGGAAGUUUCCCAACAGCUACAGGAAGGAGAGAAGUUUGUCAAAUGGGACGAGGAUUCUGGGAUAGCAACGCCAGUGACUUUGAAAGUGGAUAAAUAUGGGUUUUACUUACAUUGGGUGGAUCAAAAUAAUGAGAUGGAUAUGCUGGACAUAGCAGUUAUAAGAGAUACGCGAACAGGAAAAUAUGCAAAAAUACCAAAGGAUUCAAAGCUAAAGUCUCUUGUAACGAUGGGCUCUCAAGACUCCCUAGAAGACAAAACUAUAACAAUCUGUUAUGGUUCUGACUUUGUCAAUAUGAAUUUUAUUAAUUUUUGCACGACACGUGCAGAAAUAGCACAACAUUGGACGGAACAACUUUUUCAACUGGCGUACAAUUUAAUUCAAUUAAACACUAGCACAACUAUGUUUUUACUAAAAGCACAUACCAAACUAAUACUUACUGCUGAUAAAUCUGAAAAAAUACCAGUAAAGAAUAUAAUAAAAAUGUUUACACAAAAUAAGGAAGAUCGCAAGCGUGUUGAAAAAGCACUCGAUAUUUCUGGCUUUCCCUCUGGCAAAAGCGACGUCGUGCCGUUGUCCAAAUUUCAAUUUGAGGACUUCUUCAAUUUUUACAAGUCUCUCACUCAGAGAUCAGACGUGGAAAAAGUGUUUGAAGGACUUGUCGGCAAUAGCAAACGCAGAUUGAUGUCUGUUUUGCAAUUUGUGGAUUUUUUGAAUAAGACGCAGCGGGAUCCACGCCUUAAUGAGAUCUUGUAUCCGUAUGCAAAUGAAGCAAGGGCAAAAGAUAUCAUAAAUCAGUAUGAACCCAACAAGUGUAAUGCGAAUAAAGGUCAACUUAGUUUUGACGGUUUCUUGAGAUAUCUUAUGAGCGAGGAUAAUCCGAUUGUUGCGGUCACCAAAUUUGAAUUAUCGGACGACAUGGAUCAACCACUUGCGCAUUACUUUAUAAAUUCUAGUCACAACACAUACUUAACAGGGCAUCAACUUACCGGUAAAAGCUCUGUGGAAAUUUAUCGCCAAUGUCUUCUAGCCGGUUGUCGAUGCGUCGAAUUAGACUUUUGGAAUGGCAAAGUUGACGAGCCUGUUAUCGUUCAUGGAUAUACAUUUGUACCUGAAAUUAAUGCGAAAGAAGUGUUAGAGGCGAUCGCUGAUAGUGCUUUUAAAACGUCUGAAUAUCCGGUCGUUCUCAGUUUCGAAAAUCACUGCAAUGAAAAACAGCAAGCCAAAAUCGCGCAGUAUUGUAGAGACCUUUUCGGAGAAAUGUUACUUGACGCGCCACUUGAAUCUCACAAGUUAGAACCAGGUCAUGAGCUUCCACCGCCGGCAUUAUUAAGGCGCAAAAUAAUAAUAAAAAACAAAAAGAAGCAUCAUCAUCACAAGAAGCAGAAGAAGCAACAGCAAGCAUCGGACACUGCUGAAGGUACACCGGAAAGUGAAACAAACGGAACGGUAAAUCCAUCCGCUGCGGGCGAGAACGGCCCGCCGCCGGACAUAAUACCUCAAAAUGACAUGGCUGAUGGCGUCGGAUCUGAAAAUGAACAGCAGAUUGGGAACGGUGACAUUCCCCACCCACCGAUGCUACAACAAAGACAGGGUAGUAAAGAUAGCGCCCAGGACGACGAAGACGAUGAAGAUGAAUCGAGUACAGAGGAUGAUGAGUGCAAUGUGGAAGAUAUGAAACUGAGAAUGGGUGACAAAGGAGCCGCGCCGGAUAAAGCAUCCGCGGCCAAGGAAACGGAAGCGGGCGCGGAAAUUUCGGCUCUAGUUAAUUACGUGCAGCCCGUACACUUCAACAGUUUUGAAUCGGCUGAAAAAAAGAAUCGCAUGUACGAAAUGUCAUCCUUCGACGAGAAGCAAGCCACGACUCUCUUGAAGGAGAGGCCGUUAGAGUUCGUAAAUUACAACAAACAUCAGCUGUCCAGAGUUUAUCCAGCGGGCACGCGAUUCGAUUCCAGCAAUUUCAUGCCGCAAGUAUUUUGGAACGCGGGAUGUCAGCUGGUCGCGUUGAAUUAUCAAACGCUUGACCUGGCGAUGCAGUUAAAUCUGGGAAUAUUCGAGUACAAUCAACGUUGCGGUUAUCUGUUGAAACCAGAAUUUAUGAGGAGAAAAGAUCGACGGCUAGAUCCUUUCGCCGAGUCCACUGUUGACGGUAUUAUAGCGGGCACGGUUCACAUUCACGUGAUAUCCGCACAGUUUUUAACUGACAAGAGAGUGGGCACUUACGUGGAAGUGGACAUGUACGGUUUACCGGCGGACACCGUAAGGAAGAAAUUCCGCACGAAAAUCGUGCCGAAUAACGGUAUCAAUCCUGUAUACGACGAAGAGCCGUUCGUAUUCAAAAAGGUAGUUUUGCCGGAACUUGCCUCGAUAAGGAUAGCCGCGUACGAAGAUUCCGGACGUUUAAUCGGUCACAGGGUACUUCCGGUAGUUGGAUUAUGCCCAGGAUACAGACACGUCGCGCUGCGAACAGAGUGUGGGCAACCGCUACCGUUAGCGAAUCUGUUUUUAUACGUUAUCGUGAAGGAUUACGUUCCCGAUGGCUUGAGCGAGCUUGCCGAAGCUCUGGCGAAUCCCAUUAAGUAUCAGAGCGAAGUGGAGAAGCGAGAAAAUCAAUUGUUAGUUCUUACGGAUUGCCUGGAAACACCGGAGGAAAUCGAAGAUAAGGAUAAAGUUGGCGACACUUCUCACACUAGUUCUGUUAAACCAGCUGAGGAAAUUGUAAAGACCAAACGCAUGCAGUCUAUUUCCGGCGAAUUACCGGCGAGUCUUCUACCUACUUCCGGUAGCUUACACGGUAGACCGUCUAUCGCCGGCUUAAGUACGGACACGGUGGACAUAGAAGACGAAGCUCCAUGCCCUGCAGUUCCACCAGUCGAUACUUCUAUAAAUAAAAGCCCGGUCAACGUCAGCAGCACGAGUGACGAAAUAGUGGCCGAAAGUUUGGAGAAAUUCAUGGAAAACAAGUUGGUUAGGGAGAAAAAGACGGAGCUCGAGAAGAAACUGGAAUCGCUGAGGAAGAAGCACGAGAAAGAGAAGCUGCGAAUGCAAACGCAGAAAAGCUCCCUCGAUGGCGAGAAGCACAAAUCGAAAUUUUACAUGAGCAAUAAGCUGGUGAAGCGGCUGUCGAGCAAGAACAUCAGCUUCUCGAGCGAAGUGGGUUUAAGCACUUUGGCUAUGCCUGAAUCCUCCGAAUGCUCGGAGAACGCGGAGAAUCGUGAGGGGAAUGAAGGUUCCAGAGGUUUGCCUAGAAGUCAGAGCGAGCGGUUUUUGGCUAUUUGCAAGGCGCAUGUUCAGCAGGAACGUGAACUCCAGGAGAAGUAUUACGAGAAUCUCUUUGCGACCGUCGAAAAAGUAAUGAGAGCGUCGCAGUCUAAUCAACUGAAGAUGCUUCAGGCGCAUUUCGAUAGAGAAACCGCAGACGUUAAACGAAAAUUGCAGGCAACGAGACAGGGCGAGGUCAAACAAUUGGCCAAAGUGCACAAGGAUAAAGCAGAACUGGAGCGCAUAAAGAGAGAAGUCGCAAAAUCGACCGUAGAGAAAGGCGUGAAUGAGUGCACGCGUUUGACAAAAAUCUACGAUAAGAAGAGAGUGGAGUUGGAAAGACAGCAUGAAGAGGUGCGGCAAAAGUUGGAGGAGGAACGAGCCAAGGUGAAAGCUAAUCUGCUAGCAGAGUAUAGUAGCCGCUAUAGCAAAUACGAGAGUGGCGAGUUUUCCUUGUCACCAUCUGGCGGUGCUAGCAUGCCCGAGUCAUUGAGUGAGAAUACAUAUUGACUCGUGAAACGAGUUGUUUAAUUGUGCGUUGACUGAAGAUACGACAUCGAGUUACGAUGUUCGACAUGCAAUCGAGUUAUGAAAUUUGGAGCAUCGAGCGUAAAAGACGCAGUCUGAAUUUUGUAACGGCAUGUGGGGAGAGGAAGAGAAAGCGAAUAUUACCAGGACAUAAUAUUUCCUCCACUCAUAAGAAAACGAACCAAUUACGACUAACAAAAUGCUGGCAUGUGGUACAUCUGCAGCUGCUCGGCGAUGAUAGAUAGAACGUUCUUGCCAUCCCGCUGGAGAUAUCAAUACGGUAACGAUACUGUACCGAGAGAGAUUAAGUGAUUUUAGACAGCUCGGUACUGCACGAAGUAUGAUGAGUAACGUCUUCAACUACUAUGUAUGAUACAGUUGUAUGUAUAUACUGAACUUUUACCGUUUAAUAUUUCAAGGAGAUUAGAUGUCGAAUAAUGGGAUCGAGGUAAUUUUCUAUUACUUCAACGCUGUGUCUUUUAGUAUGGUCGUCAUUAUUCGAUUGACGCAUUGAUCGUACGUAUCGAUCGGUUCUUUAACCGGUCGCGUCUCACUAGGUACGUGGAAACGCUAUAUCUUGAUCUCUUUACGAUAAAACGUCUGCUUAAAGAGACAACAUCAAAGAGACAACGUCAAAUUUCAAUGGUAAAUAUGAGUUUCGCGUUAUUUGCACAUACAGUAUUAAACAGUCUGGGAAAUUCCGGGAUCUAAAAUGGUCGCUGACGCGACAGUUGACGUAUUUGCACGAUCUCAACACAAGCAUUAAGAUCGUUCGCGAGAGAUACGCGCGAGAGGUAUAUAUAAUUCUAAAUAAGAGAAUACAACUUUCCUAAGUGCUAACAUUUAAUAUUGUUGUUAUAUGCAUAAGACAUCGUUAUUUAAUCGACUACUUAAACUAAGUCUAAUCGCGUUCCAAGAUGCUCCGUUUACGCGGGAAACAGAUUGGUCUUCGACUACCAAAAGUCAGAUCUCAGGAGAUUCCAGUCAGAAUAACGUAAGGAGUAUACCGAGAGGAUGAAAUCUCUUUGGCCUAGAGGAGAAACAUUGGAAAGAAAUUUGCACGAACGCGCGAUAACAAGCGGUAUUGCUUCUCUGAAGAACGAUUGAGCCUAAAGUUAUAUCCCGUGCACCUCUUUCAAACGCAAUGACGUUUCGUUCGCUGUAGAUGUAAAAAAAAAAAAAGGGUAGUCGCAUUUGGUUCACUUGAAAUAGUCGCGUCCUUUGCAAGGGAAUAUCUAAUAUAUGUAUAUUUCCGGUAGACUUAGGUUUACACACGAAACCAUUGAGAGUACGCAGAGUUACCGUUUUUUUAGUCGAUUGUGCAGUAGCAUUUCUUCCACAAGCGAAGUUACCGAUCAUUUUUAAGAUUGUAUCGCGAUUGAUCUUUUCUAGACAUGGAUGAUGGAAGAUAGAGUCAUAAGAAGAAUAACGUUUAAGAUUAAAGGCGAUACGUGUAAGCCUUGUAUCUACUACCCCCGGAAUCCGUAUGAAGAAAUCGGUAGCGUCGUUCGUGGGUUAAUCGUAUGCAUAUGCGUGCGUAAGUGUCGGUAUUUUUGUUGGGAUUGGACAGAUACCGUGUUGUGUACGAUUUCAAGCAACUUCCUUAUAAUAGAAGAAAUCGAUUUAAAUCGAUAUAUAUAUAUAAAUUUUACAGUAUAUACUAGAUUUAUAUCGUUAUUAAUGACAUAUACUCUUUCCAGCGCCUUGAAUGGUGAUAUUUAUUUCGGUUUUUUUCCGAAUGUUAUUUUAUUUCGUUUGUAAGUUUUUCGAUGUCUCGCCUCUUUGAAAAUGCAUGUAUUUUAGUAUAAGCGUUUACUUUGCGAAUAUAUCGUUUUAGGGUUUGCGGUAUUAAUGAUAAUAUAGAGAUCUUGACUUUUCUCUUAUAUUUAUGUGGUAUCCAAGCGCUCAAAUUUUUGGUAUAUGUUUUGAUUACCUGAACUAUAUAUUAUCUCAUUGAAGUUGAAAAUAUUGAAAGCACACGAGAUAAUUGGUGUGUGAGCGAUAGGAAUGAUCCAGUCAAAUAUGUAUUUCCAAUUACAUGAAUAGUUUGCGUUUCUUUUACGUUCUAAAAGUAUUUAUUACAGUUUUAUCGUGAGCUUCGUUACCUUUGUUACGUAAUUGGGGAGUUGGAAGUCGAUUUUGCCAUUAUUCUCUAUAUAGUAAAUAUUGUUAAUAUAUUAUUAUAAAUACAUAUUACGAAUGAACUUGAAUAUAUCAUAAACGACUAAUAAAACUCUUUUCUUUCAACUUACUCAGAUUUUAAGACAGCCUCGAGCUGAUUUUCCUGAAAAUUGUGUAAAGAUAUUUACGCUCUCGUCGCGUUCAACUCCUCAAUUAUAGUUAUAGAGUACUCUACCUAUGCAUUUAUGUCUUUCAACUAGAAUCAGAUUGAAUUGCUGUAUGUAUUGAUUGGAUCGCUGUCAGCGAUCUUUUUCUGCGUAUAUAUAUACUAUAUACAUAAAUAUUGCAUGACUUGCUUGGGACAUGAUCGGCGUCGUUCUCUUCCUACAUUACUGUAACGUACAUAUAUACGCGUGUAUGUACGUUACAUAUGCGGACACACGCGUAUGUAUAUAGAAUAAGUAUAAAUUUACGCUAACGGGGUAUAGAUAUUAUAUUCACGUUGAUAUAUUAUGUGUUGUUGCUGUUGAUGUUGUUAAUCAUAGAGUAGAGAAAAAAAAUUGUAGUGCUUAGAAUAAGGUAGUUAAUAUUGUUGUUAAUGUAGGAACUACAGGGGAAAAAAAAGGACAAGAAUUCUCCCUUGUUACUUUUGCGAUAAGUACGUUCGCGCACGGAUUGUUAAUUGCAAUACGAAUUAAUCUUCGGAUGUCGCGCGCGUCGUGAUGUUACCAAUUUGUACCUGCAAUCUUUAUCUUAAUCGCUUUGGCGUUCGCUAAGAUUGUUCUAGACGUUGCUUUCCCGCUUUGAGUGAAGGACUUCCAAUUUGAAGAUUAGUUUCAGUGCCAGAUUUAGAAUUCUAUCGUUGCUUCACGCCAAGGUGGUUGACUCUAGCGACAGUACCUCUCAAGGUCCUAGCUGUUUACUCUAAGAUUUGCCAAAUAUUAUAGAAUACGCCGGCACACCGAAGAUUCCCGUGACAAACGUGUUUAUCGUUCUGGAGUAACCGUAAAAACAGACGUUUAUUAUGCAUAAAGUAUGUGUAUUAUACAUAAUGCGAUUUCAAAUGGCCUAAAAACGUAGUGAUUUGGCUCAGCUAUGUAUAUUUCCGUUUUUUUCUUCUUUUUUCAAAAUUAUUGCACUUUUCACUUGUUGAAAUUCAAGUUGGAGCGUCUAAACGUCCGCCGCCAUCAUGUCGAAACUUGCAAGCAUAAAAUUUCUUACAGCAGAUUUACCUCUAAGAUAUUUCACUAUCUACCUUUAUCUCGUAUCUUUGCCUUUUGAGCUAUGUAAUAAGAAUCUUUUAACAACGAUUCUCCGUGUUUGUUCGGAUUGUAUUAUUCUUCUUAAUCUUGCAUCGAAAGUAGAGAAGCUCUUUUGACACGGAUAUAUCUACGAAGAAAACAGAAACGAAAUAUAUACCAGUCUCCCUCAAUGCUUGCGAGAAUUUCGAAAUAUCUCGAAAUAUUCUUGUGUAAACGGCGGUCGAUUAGGCUGUGCACCAAUGUUGCGAAGAUAUUAAAAUUUGUUACAUAUGCUGUUGCUACGCAUGAGAGCCGCAUUUUGAAUUGUUUAUCGAUGUUCGUAGUGACUGUAUCGCUAAUUCUCAACCGACAAUGAAAUAGAGUAACUCGAUGUACAUAAGAUGCAACGACGAGAUUCUCGUGAAUCUAUAGAGCUUGCGUUAUUGUCUGAGUUGAAGAAUUUUAUUCCGACGAAUUUUGCCUUACGAUACUGUACGUGUACGCUAGCGGCCGGUGGUAUGUUUUGAUUUAUAUAUACAAAACGCGGAUGUACUGUUAACUGCAUUUAACACAGCGCGAAUCUUAUGUUCAACGAUUCUGUACCCGCUUUGUGAUCGAGAGCUCGAUCAUUGGAGUUGUAAUGUAGCGUCGUAGAAUGCUCGCUUAGGUGUAUCUACGUGAGUGUGACUAUUCGUAGUGACAAAAAAUACGCCAAAAAAAGGAGAAAGUGCGAAGAGAGAAAGAGAGAGAGAGAGAACAAAGUCGUUGACGAUUGUAACGUAGUAGCGAUCGAUAGUGCGAAUGUAUAAAUGCCUGAUGGUGUUGUACGUUUAGUAGAGUAUGCAUAUACAGAUGUAUACGUUAUCUACUUUACAUAUUGAGAGUAGUCGCAUCGCGUACAAAUAAUUUUGUCUUCCCUCUUAGCUUAAUUAAGGUAACUCGAUCGACGGCAUACCGUUUCGUUAUUCUAAGCGUUACUGUUGCCGCUAUCGACGACAGCUCUAUCCGAUUAUCUCAUCAAUGUUUAAUUGUCCCAUUGUUAUUAUAUUUCCGUGCGUUGCACAACGCGACGGCCUGGUUUAUGUGUAUUCUCAGUUGUAUCUCUCAUUUGUAUUCUUUAAUCGACGAUUGGUUCCGUUUGCCAUCGAUCAUACUUCUGUUCUGUAAAUAGAGAGAUUAUAAUAAUUUGUUGUGUUCACACAUA